rnacentral:tRNA from 1 species
GGCGACGUAGCCAAGUGGUAAGGCAAGGGUCUGCAAAACCCUCAUUCAUCGGUUCGAAUCCGAUCGUCGCCU